AGAGUUUGAUCCUGGCUCAGGAUAAACGCUGGCGGCGUGCAUAACACAUGCAAGUCGAACGAUGAACCUUAAUUGAUUUCUUCGGAAUGAAAAUAAGUGGAUUAGUGGCGAACGGGUGAGUAACACGUGAGUAACCUGCCUUACACAAGGGGAUAGCCUUUGGAAACGAAGAAUAAUACCCUAUAAAGUCAAAAUAUCGCAUGAUAAAGUGACCAAAGAUUUAUCGGUGUAAGAUGGACUUGCGUCUGAUUAGCUAGUUGGUGAGAUAAAAGCCCACCAAGGCGACGAUCAGUAGCCGGCUUGAGAGAGUGUACGGCCACAUUGGGACUGAGACACGGCCCAAACUCCUACGGGAGGCAGCAGUGGGGAAUUUUGCACAAUGGGGGAAACCCUGAUGCAGCGACGCCGCGUGAUUUAGAAGGCCUUCGGGUUGUAAAAAUCUUUUUUAUGGGAUGAAAAUGACAGUACCAUAAGAAUAAGGUCCGGCUAAAUACGUGCCAGCAGCCGCGGUAAUACGUAUGGACCGAGCGUUGUCCGGAAUCAUUGGGCGUAAAGGGUACGUAGGCGGCCUAGUAAGUUAGAAGUGAAAUAAUAUAGCUCAACUAUAUAAAGCUUUUAAAACUGUUAGGCUUGAGAGAUGAAAGGGAAAGUGGAAUUCCUAGUGUAGCGGUGAAAUGCGCAGAUAUUAGGAAGAAUACCGGUGGCGAAGGCGACUUUCUGGUCAUCAUCUGACGCUGAGGUACGAAAGCGUGGGUAGCAAACAGGAUUAGAUACCCUGGUAGUCCACGCU
rnacentral:rRNA from 1 species